UACGUAGGCCCCAAGCGUUAUCCGGAAUUACUGGGUGUAAAGCGUCUGUAGGUGGAUUGUUAAGUCUUGUAUGAAAGACCGGGGCUCAACCCCGUGUUUGUAUAGGAUACUGGCAGACUAGAAUUAGGGAGAGGCAAGCAGAAUUAUGAGAGUAGGGGUGCAAUCCGUAGAUACUCAUAAGAAUACCAAAAGCGAAGGCAGCUUGCUGGAACUAUAUUGACACUGAGAGACGAAAGCGUGGGGAGCGAAAAGG
rnacentral:rRNA from 1 species